rnacentral:rRNA from 1 species
UACAGGGGGUGCAAACGUUGCUCGGAAUCAUUGGGCGUAAAGCGCACGUAGGCGGUUUGUUAUGUCGGAUGUGAAAGCCCUUGGCUCAACUGAGGAAGUGCAUCCGAAACUGGCAAGCUAGAGUACUAAAGAGGGUCGCGGAAUUCCCGGUGUAGAGGUGAAAUGCGUAGAUAUCAGGAAGAACACCUAUGGCGAAGGCAGCUCUCUGGGACGGUACUGACGCUGAGACGCGAAAGCGUGGGGAGCGAACAGG